AACAGGGAUUGCCCUAGUAACGGCGAGUGAAGCGGCAACAGCUCAAAUUUGAAAUCUGGCUCUUUUAGAGUCCGAGUUGUAAUUUGCAGAGGGCGCUUUGGCUUUGGCAGCGGUCCAAGUUCCUUGGAACAGGACGUCACAGAGGGUGAGAAUCCCGUACGUGGUCGCUAGCUAUUGCCGUGUAAAGCCCCUUCGACGAGUCGAGUUGUUUGGGAAUGCAGCUCUAAAUGGGAGGUAAAUUUCUUCUAAAGCUAAAUAUUGGCCAGAGACGAUAGCGCACAAGUAGAGUGAUCGAAAGAUGAAAAGCACUUUGGAAAGAGAGUCAAACAGCACGUGAAAUUGUUGAAAGGGAAGCGCUUGCAGCCAGACUUGCUUGCAGUUGCUCAUCCGGGCUUUUGCCCGGUGCACUCUUCUGCAGGCAGGCCAGCAUCAGUUUGGGCGGUGGGAUAAAGGUCUCUGACACGUUCCUUCCUUCGGGUUGGCCAUAUAGGGGAGACGUCAUACCACCAGCCUGGACUGAGGUCCGCGCAUCUGCUAGGAUGCUGGCGUAAUGGCUGUAAGCGGCCCGUCUUGAAACACGGACCAAGGAGUCUAACAUCUAUGCGAGUGUUUGGGUGUCAAGCCCGAGCGCGUAAUGAAAGUGAACGGAGGUGGGAACCCGCAAGGGCGCACCAUCGACCGAUCCUGAAGUUUACGGAAGGAUUUGAGUAAGAGCAUGGCUGUUGGGACCCGAAAGAUGGUGAACUAUGCUUGAAUAGGGUGAAGCCAGAGGAAACUCUGGUGGAGGCUCGCAGCGGUUCUGACGUGCAAAUCGAUCGUCAAAUUUGGGCAUAGGGGCGAAAGACUAAUCGAACU
rnacentral:rRNA from 1 species